UGGGCCAGAAUAUAUUGGGCCA
rnacentral:siRNA from 1 species